ensembl:lncRNA
CCUGUUUGUUACAAACCUUUUAUUAAGAUAUUCAGAUUUCUUCCUCAUUUUUAAUCAGUCUGGUUUCUUUUUCUCUUUACAGUAGUUAAUGUGCAAUUAUCUUUAUUACUGGGUCACAGUUAGGAAUUCACAAAGUUAUUGGCACUUGGAACACAUGAGGGAAACACUGGCAUGUACAAGGAGAGCAGGGUGGGGGUGGGGGCUGAUUCGAGGGAGCAUCUGGGCAAUCAUUUGUAUGGAGUUCAGGGGGAAGGGGGGGCAGGGCUUGGGUAAAGGUCUGUGGGGAGAGGUGUGUGUGUGGUGGGGUGAGGUUGGGUAUUUUUCUUUGACAUCAGUAGAUGCUACUGCAUUGUUUUCGUUAUUUUUAUAUAUUUAUAUCUUUUUUUAAACUUCCAAAAGCUGUCAUUUCACUUUUCCUUUUUUUUCUGGGCUAUGAAGAAUAAUAAAGAAUAAUACCUCAUGCUGCGAGUGCACAUCUAACAAUCAAACUUUGAUAGUGCUUCUAUGUCAUAAUGUACAGUUUAUAUAUUUAUAUAUUUAUAGUGGAAGAAAAAAAAGGAGAAAAGAAAGAUCUGCAGACUAUUUUCACCCAACAACACCAGAGACAAGGAAUAAAACUUAAAAACAAAAAAAAAGUCAUUCACGGUUGCUAUGAUCAUAUGUAAGCCCCGCCCCCGUUUCUGAAGCAUGAUUCUGAGGUAAGACUGUGUUGACAUGGACUCCCAGCUUGUGUCCCGUUUCUGUAAAAACCCUGCACUGUAUGCAUUCAAAUGGCCCGAGAGCGCUCUGCUGAGGCUCCUGGGUUUGUUCCUGAAAAACAAAAAAAGUAUGUACCUGCUUUGUAACGGCAGCCACAGCAGUUCAGAAGCUGCUCGCAGCACUGAGAUAUCUGUGGGGAUUAAGGUCUGCUAUGGCUGAGAGCUCCCGAGGUAAACUGGUACUUUUUCUUUUUUUUUUCUUUUUUUUUGAAAAACUGCAUCAGCGACACGAAGACGCACGCACGCACACGUGUCCUGCAGCACCUCCAGAGAGUGCGCAGGUGCGGGUGCGAGCUUCGGCAUCUCAGAGGUUUGCCUGUUUUGUAUCCAUGUAUACAUAUACAGUAUAUAUAUAGAUAUUUAUGCAUCUGUGAGCAUGUGUGUUGUCUCUGGUGUGUGGGGAUUUGGGGAAAGAGAAGAGUAAAUGUUUCUGAUAGACGACUACAGACCAGCAGACAGCAGGAAAAAGACUCGCGCAGCUCGAGGACCGUAUUGGAGGUCGGGAGAGGGGGUGAGAGAGGUCAGGUCCGCUACGCCGAGGAAGAAGUGGAGGAAAGCUGGCUGAGCAGAGGGAUGGAAGGCGAGAGACAAACCAAGAGGCUUCACUUCAGGAUUACAAUCUUGUAUCGUCUUGCGUCCACUUCCUGUUCACUGUUCUCAAGUUUGGCCCGUUUUUAACCAUACAACAAAAGUGUCGACAGUCUCAGCAGGGCCCCUACACAGGAAAAAUCCACCCUCGAUUUCUACAACUUAGACUUAUCAAGUGUUCAGACAUCCUCUGUCUUUUGGGGGUUUUUUGGCCUUUUGUCCAUCAGUUUUUGUUUUCCUUUCUGGAAUAUGUUAUGGCUUUGUACUUUGGUUUUGUGAGUCUAUAAUCCAUACAGUUUAGAAAGAAAACUUUGCUUUUCAGCAUGAAACCUGCGCUAGUGCAAAUUUGUUCAAAUAGUGACAAACCAUCAGAGAAUUAUCUCCCUGCUUGGAAGUAACUUAUUUAAUACUCUACUUUUAAACUAUUUAGCUUCUAUUUUUUACUCUUGCACCUCAAAACACUUCUUCACAUUUACACUAACAGGUGCACUCAAAGCUGGAAACGACUAGAGACGCCAAACAGCUGGUAGCCAAGCGGAGGAUAUGUUGUUAGCACAGAUAAUGAUGCUACGGCUAGCUAGCUAGCUGGCAAACAGUAGCUAGUUUUUUUUCCCCACAACAUUAACAUUUAACGUUAACAUCACAUGUGCAAUUUUAAUGCCCUGUUUGGUAUUUACGUGUUAAAUAGUCCUGACUGUAAAAGAAUUUGGUUGUUAGCAUCAUUAGUGCAGAUACUGACAAUUGUGCUAGCUAGCUAAACAGUACUUUUUUACCUUAAUGCAUUAAUGCCUCGUUUAAUUUUAUGACUGUCAAAUUGUUAUUGUGACUGUAAAAUAAUAUUAUUUUUCAGCAUUUCAACUAUUUGUAUAUAUCUUUUUAAAAAUGUUCUACAUAUCAUGGCAGCUCCAGUGAAACACUGGAAUCAUCAUUUUUGCUAACAGCCCAGACACAGGCUUCGUUUAGCAGUUAUAAAGCCAAAAUUUUCAAACAGUAGACCAAAACCAAAGUAGGAAAGUUGGCACAAGGGAGGAUUUUUCCUUUCAUAUUUUGACCGCACAUCAGAAAUUUGUUGAACAAAAAGUGAAUACAAGUGUCAAAAAGAUAAUACAGUGUCCAUGCAUCAGAUAUACUGGAUGGAAUUUUUAGCCCAAAAAGACACUCAAGUACAUCUGAAAAAAAUCAGUUUCUUAAAAAGUUCUUAAUAAUUUGAAUACACAUAAUUGGUUUUACUUUCAAGCUCAAAACUCUCGAUUGACCCUGAACCAGUAAACCAUCAAAUUCUUGUUGUACGAUCGUUCCUCUAUUGGUGAUUUCUUUUGUUCAUUUCCACUUCCAUAUACGUGUAGGAACCCUGUUUGAAUCAGCAAGACCAGACUUCACCCUUUGUUGGUAACCCUCACCCAACUCGCACCCACCCACCUACCUACCCGCCUGCGUUCCAUUGCAAUCCAUUCCCACAUGGGUGAAGGAUCAUCAUCAUUUUUACACUUUACAAGAGAAAAUAAACAUACAAAAUAAAAAGGGAAGUACAAAAAUGUAAAAACAAUUCAAAUAAG